rnacentral:rRNA from 1 species
UACGUAGGUGGCGAGCGUUGUCCGGAUUUACUGGGCGUAAAGGGAGCGUAGGCGGACUUUUAAGUGAGAUGUGAAAUACCCGGGCUCAACUUGGGUGCUGCAUUUCAAACUGGAAGUCUAGAGUGCAGGAGAGGGGAAUGGAAUUCCUAGUGUAGCGGUGAAAUGCGUAGAGAUUAGGAAGAACACCAGUGGCGAAGGCGAUUCUCUGGACUGUAACUGACGCUGAGGCUCGAAAGCGUGGGGAGCAAACAGGAUUAGAUACCCGGGUAGUCCCU